rnacentral:rRNA from 1 species
UCUCAGUUCGGAUUGGAGUCUGCAACCCGACUCCAUGAAGCUGGAUUCGCUAGUAAUCGCGCAUCAGCCACGGCGCGGUGAAUACGUUCCCGGGCCUUGUACACACCGCCCGUCAAGCCAUGGGAGCCGGGGGUGCCUGAAGGCCGUGACCGCGAGGAGCGGCCUAGGGUAAAACUGGUGACUGGGGCUAAGUCGUAACAAGGUAGC